AAACAUGGUCUUUUGUUGUAUUAUAUAAGAUCAGGCCUGCCCAAUGAUUUUUGUUUAAUGGCUGCGGUAUUUUGACCGUACAAAGGUAGCAUAAUCAAUUGCUUCUUAAUUAGGGGCUGGUAUGAAUGGUUUGAUGAGAGAAAUGCUUUCUUUUUUAUAUAUUAAGAAUUUGAUUUUUAGGUAAAAAAGCCUAAGUUCUGUUGAAGGACGAGAAGACCCUAUAGAACUUUAUUAUUUAUAGAUAAUAUUUUUACUAGAUUUUUAUAUAGGUAUAUUUUGUCAAUAAUUUUGUUGGGGUGACAGGAAAAAAUUAAAAACUUUUUUGUUUUAUAGUCAUUUAUAUAUGUUAAUGAUCCUUUAUUAAGGAUUAUCAGAUUAAGUUACCUUAGGGAUAACAGCGUUAUUACUUUGUAGAGUACACAUCGAUAAAGUAGUUUGCGACCUCGAUGUUGGAUUAAAAUUAAUAGUAGGGGUAGUUUUUUACUAAUUAGGUCUGUUCGACCUUUAAAUUUUUACAUGAUCUGAGU
rnacentral:rRNA from 1 species